rnacentral:lncRNA from 1 species
GGCUACAUGCAGUCUGCAAUGGAUUAAUUUUGUUGGUUAUCUUUUCUUUUCAGUAUUCUUUUAUGUAGUUGUAGUUUUAGAUUAGAAUCUUAGAUUUUCAUUAUUAUUACAAUGACAAGUGUGCCAUCUGAGGAAGAAACGGGAAAUCCCAUCGAUGAUGUAGCCGAAACAGAAAAGUUUGAGUUUGGGAAAGGAUACGAUUUAACUUAUUUUAAAGAUAUUAGGGAGAAAUAUUGAGGAAAAAGAAAGGCAAGAAGAAGAACUGCACAAGGCCUUGUUGAAAUUCCCAGUUAUCCAACCCGCCCAGCCCUUUGGUUGGAUUUUAAAAAGUCCAAAGGAACCUGCAGCUCCAGACGUACAUCCAUUCACAGCAUUCAAUCUAAAACAGCCUUCGAAAAUGGAAUGGACCAUUUUACGCUGUCUGCAUCCCAAAAUGUACAGGAAUGGUCCACUGACGUCAGUGGGUAUGGGAAUCUUGCAGGUGAGUUUAUGAAAACACCAGAAUGUCAUGCUGCAGUAGUCGCUUGGACUGCGUUGGUUAAAAAAUACCAAUUGAAAAGGGAAACAGAUUCAGGCUGAUGUUGAAUCCGACUUUUUGGAUGAAGACACGUUCGCCUACGACAUUGAAAAUGGCAUCGAAGACCUUCUAUUAGAUAAUAUUCAAGAAGAUGGUGAUGAGGAAAAUGAAGCAUACGAAGAAGAUAGCGAAGAGGAGACUGCUGAUUACCAGGAUUACAGCGACGAAGAGACAAACGAUUAUCAAGACUACGCUGACGAGGACAAUGAAGGAAACAAUUAAUAUCGAUCGUUUAAAACUCUCUUAUAUAUAGUUAUGCUAAUCCUGUAAUUAGGGCUACUUUUGAAAUGGAGCUAUUGAUGAAAGGGAAUAAAAGUAUAAUUAUGAGGUU